ensembl:lncRNA
UUUUACACAUAUCUCUCCGUAUGAGAGUAAUAUAAAACAAAACUGGAUCCUCCCCCAUGUUUUACACAUAUCUCUCCGUAUGAGAGUAAUAUAAAACAAAACUGGAUCCUCCCCCAUGUUUUACACAUAUCUCUCCGUAUGAGAGUAAUAUAAAACAAAACUGGAAAAAAAUAUAAAACAACAUUUCAACUAACCUAAUCAAAUUAAAAUCACAAAACUGAAAAAACUCCACAAAGAAAACUGAUUUAACCCCUAUGGUCAUAGGAAAAUAGACUUAAAGCAGCAUACCCUUAGUUAAAAGCAAUGCCCUCUCCUUCUUCACAGUGGUCCAAAUUACAAAUAUGGCUAAGAACUAUAAACUCAAACAUAUUUACCAAUUACACAAAUGAUCUUGAAAGCAGUAUUAAAAAUGACCUUAAAUUCAUUAUCCAAAUGGCUUUCCAAUGCGGGUGAUCAAGCCACAACGGAAGGUCAUCAUAGAUGUCAUAGGUCAUCAUAGAGGUCAUAGGUCAUACAAAACCCUUCAAAGAAGUGUUUUUCACUAUAUUAGACAAAUUGCAAACAAUAGUCAAAUAGUUCCUACAUGUUGUAUCCCAGGUUCCCAGAACAUUCCUUUAUCAAAAGAAUUAACGUGUGUAAUUAAAACUCAGAAAAUAAAAACUCAUUCAAAUCCCAUGUGGUGCGUUUCCCCUUUAAGAUACAUUUGCACUAAAACAAAAACUUCCAGGCCCUUUUCAAUGUGGUAGUUUAUGGCCUCAAUCUCACUCACUCUCCCCAAGAGCAUAGUCCCUGGAAACAUUCCAAAGAGAGACAAUGAAACACCCAUUUUCCCAGAAAAAACACAAAACACUUUGUUAGUAUUUAUUACACUACAUCGAUUCAGAAACUCAAAAAUGAACUAUAAACCAAACCUAAUGAUAACUCCACUGUACCUCACAUCAUGAAUCAUAAGUUUUAAUCAACAUCAAUGUAUAUGUAUGCUUAAUUGAACAUGUUACCCUUAGAUACAAUUAUCCUUACUAUCUAAAUACUUUUUCCUCUGUCGCAAACGUAGUACAUUUCUCAGCGUAAGAAAUCAGUCAUUUAAUCCCAGGCAUUUAAUAAAAAUGUAAACGUGUUCUCCCAUGGCUCCUUCAACUUACAUAUUUAGAUAACUUCCAUCCGUCCCGGAAGAAAGAAUCCUCCUCAAACACAUCAGAGUUCAAUGUUUAAUUAAGUUAAAUCAACUCCUAAAACAAACAAACAAAUAAACAAACCCCUUUAAUUAGCAAUCUAAUAAUUUCAACCUGUUGAUAUAAAUUUAGUAAAGACGAUCCUGAUUUUUAACAAAUCUAAAAUCUUUCAAAAGUUGGCGCUGUCUUAUCAGCGUAAAAAUCGAAACAAACUUUUUUCCACUCAUAUCCACAAAGUUUUCAUUCCCCAAAGGUCAAUACUGUUCAGCUCAUCCAUUAAUGAUCUUCCUUUGGUCUGUACAGGGUCUGAAGUUCCAAUGUAUGCAGAUGAUACAGUGAUAAAUUCAUGCAAAUAACAAACAAUCUACACAAGAACGCACUAUUAUAAUGGUUCAGAUGACAAAAUUGCUCAGAGGCUCAUGUUUACAUCUCAAUAAAAUAAAACACAGUCUGCAUGUUAAAAAAACACCAACUGAUGCCCCUGAGACAGAUGUCUAUGUAUCAGGGGAAAAGCUCCCAGUAGUAUCUGAUUUUAAGUACCAAGGCAUCAUACUUGAUUCCAAUCUUUCUUUUAAAAAACAAAUAAAAAAGGUAACUCAAAUAACCAAAUUCAACCCAGCUAAUUUCCCAAAACAUAUGAAAUAGUUUUGACUAUAGCGGUAACAACACUAUAAUUAAAAUCUAUGAUACUCCCCCACUUAACAUACUAGUUUACUAGUUUGGCCCAAGCUUGCUUUUCAACAUUCAUACCCAUUCAGUCUUCUGCCAACAGGCUCUCAAACUACUCAACCUGCAAUCAACUUUAAUGACCUGACAUUGUUCCACCUAAUGGAAACAUACUAUAAUGUUAGACUACAUUAACUUUCCUGCUCAAAUUCACUGGUGUUACCUAAACAAUCAAACCAAGCAUUACUCCAGCGAUGAUUUCCAUAUGCCAAAUGAAUAGAUUAGCAAUCAAAGAAUAAAAUGGACAGUUAAUGACUAGGAAACAGAUCUUGUGCCUUUGAAUAAAAGUAGAUUAUGUUUACUUCUGCAACGUCUUUCAAUGACUUUACUACAUCACAUUAAUCACGCAAUGAUAAUUAAUUUGAUGGAAAACCUUAAGCUUUGUACGACAUUAUAAAUUACGUCGAGAUUCCCUCUUAAUUCUCUCUAACUUUAUGGAAAACAGUUUAUUCAAUUAAUCCCGCAACUUCUCUCAUACUGGGAAGAAAAAUAUAACAUUUUCAGACCUUAAGGGCAGUUUUAUUUCAAAUGUUGUACCCAGACGGAGAUAAUCAAUAUGCGUUUUAAGGUUACAUUGUUAGGGUAAGAUAACCAAAAGUGGACACACUCUAAUCCGUUUCUACAGCUCAAUUUCCCAGAUUUUGUAGACUAGUUUAAUGGUGCUUAAACCCUCAUCUUUAUCAAAUUAUCUAUCUAUCCAUUUGACAGAAACACAGAUGUCAUACACUAUAUACCAGUACCUAACAAGCACACAUUAGAGACCAUUGUAAUAGAUUUAACAUUACUUAAUUAUAAUAUUUUAUAUUUAUUUAACCAUGUAGGCUUUCAUAAAUCAAUGUUUUUUCUUCUAGCACAGAAAAACUAAAAGUCCUUUUUGAGUUAACAUCUGGCUCCCUGGUUUGUUCGCUGUCCAUUUUCACUCUUAGCUGCAUCUAGAGAAACAACAACAACAGAUUGAGAGAAUAAUGUAGAUAGAAUACAGGUAAAUGUCAUCUCUAGUUUUCUCACUCUCACCCUCUUUCUUUCACCCACUAUCGGCUUCUUUUUUUUACAGAGAUUCCAAACCUCCCUUCCUCCAUCUCUCCCUUUCUCGCCCUUUCUCCCUCACUCCAUUUCUCUCAGUAGUUAGAGAACUAGGCAUCACUUCUUCCUAACCUUGGUGGGCUGUGGGAAGAGCCCGUGCCUCUCUCCCUUCCUCCCUCCCUCCUUCCCUCUUCCUUCCUCCUUCCCUCUCUCUCUCCCUUCCUCCCUCACUCCUUCCCUCUUCCUUCCUUCCUCC